UGGCUUCCACAGAACUGUGUACCACC
rnacentral:piRNA from 1 species